ACUCUGGUCCACUUCUGAUGACAAACUCCCCAACGUGCCCCCCAUACAUCGCUGACUCUGGUCCACUUCUGAUGACAAACUCCCCAACGUGCCCCCCCUACAUCACUGACUCUGGUGCUCUACGCUCACAUGAUGCCACACGGGACUAUACAGCUAAACGUCUGUGAUUUUAUAAAGCACCACACCGUCACAGUUUAGAAAAGAUCUCCUACUUUUUGGGGAACAGCCAUUUAUUUCAAUCGCAGUGAUCUCACAAUGCUCUUAAAAAACUUGGCAACACUUUACUU